rnacentral:lncRNA from 1 species
AAAAUCACUCCAGUGUGCACUGGUUAGCAAUUCCUUUUCAGGAAUCCAGAUUAUUAGCAUAACUUAACUGAGAAAAACAUAAGUGAAGAUAAAUUAUUUUUUUCUCUCAGGGCAUGGUAAAACUUCUACAUAUAAUUUGGCUUUUCUCAAAACACAGCAACACUUCAUGUUACCCAUAACUCAAAUAUCAGUUAAAUAUCUAUCCCCCAUCU